GAUGAACGCUGGCGGCGUGCCUAAUACAUGCAAGUCGAGCGAACAGACGAGGAGCUUGCUCCUCUGACGUUAGCGGCGGACGGGUGAGUAACACGUGGAUAACCUACCUAUAAGACUGGGAUAACUUCGGGAAACCGGAGCUAAUACCGGAUAAUAUAUUGAACCGCAUGGUUCAAUAGUGAAAGACGGUUUUGCUGUCACUUAUAGAUGGAUCCGCGCCGCAUUAGCUAGUUGGUAAGGUAACGGCUUACCAAGGCAACGAUGCGUAGCCGACCUGAGAGGGUGAUCGGCCAAACUGGAACUGAGGCACGGUCCAGCCUCCGACGGGAGUCAGCAGUAGGGAAUCCUCCGCAAUGGGCGAAAGCCUGACGGAGCAACGCCGCGUGAGUGAUGAAGGUCUUCGGAUCGUAAGACUCUGUUAUUAGGGAAGAACAAAUGUGUAAGUACCUAUGCACGUCUUGACGGUACCUAAUCAGAGAGCCACGGCUAACUACGUG
rnacentral:rRNA from 1 species